rnacentral:pre_miRNA from 8 species
AGGGGGAGCCCAGUUAGACCUGGCUUAGACCUCAGCUUCACAAGCUGAUAGACUGAGUCAGGGGGCCAAAGCUCUCC